rnacentral:misc_RNA from 1 species
AUGGAAGGAGUUGAGAACAGUUUAACCAGAUUAUAAAACGGCACGGAGAGAAUGGCUGCUGCAGCUGGGGGGAAAACGAGGCGCAAUCCAUCCAUCGGGUGUUUAUGGUGACAUCCAUGAAGAAGAUAAUGUGCCGUGUUCGCCCAGUAGCUUUUUGUUUCGAUGUGGAAAAGGAACCGGUGCAGAGUAUAUUCAAUCAAUGUCCACAAGAAAAUUCCACCCACUACUAUGACAGCCACUUGAGGCAGAGUGUGCCCCAUGGAAAAAGACAUUCUUACAAACCAACACACAACUGGCAGCCAUAUUGUCGGGACCGCCCACCAGACUGUUCGUGUCAGGAACUCAAGGAUCUCGUUACCAAAGAAGCGAGGGCCUUCCUUG